GACGAACGCUGGCGGCGUGCCUAAUACAUGCAAGUAGAACGCUGAAGAGAGGAGCUUGCUCUUCUUGGAUGAGUUGCGAACGGGUGAGUAACGCGUAGGUAACCUGCCUUGUAGCGGGGGAUAACUAUUGGAAACGAUAGCUAAUACCGCAUAGCAAUGGAUGACACAUGUCAUUUAUUUGAAAGGGGCAAUUGCUCCACUACAAGAUGGACCUGCGUUGUAUUAGCUAGUAGGUGAGGUAAUGGCUCACCUAGGCGACGAUACAUAGCCGACCUGAGAGGGUGAUCGGCCACACUGGGACUGAGACACGGCCCAGACUCCUACGGGAGGCAGCAGUAGGGAAUCUUCGGCAAUGGGGGCAACCCUGACCGAGCAACGCCGCGUGAGUGAAGAAGGUUUUCGGAUCGUAAAGCUCUGUUGUAAGUCAAGAACGGGUGUGAGAGUGGAAAGUUCACACUAUGACGGUAGCUUACCAGAAAGGGACGGCUAACUACGUGCCAGCAGCCGCGGUAAUACGUAGGUCCCGAGCGUUGUCCGGAUUUAUUGGGCGUAAAGCGAGCGCAGGCGGUUUGAUAAGUCUGAAGUUAAAGGCUGUGGCUCAACCAUAGUUCGCUUUGGAAACUGUCAAACUUGAGUGCAGAAGGGGAGAGUGGAAUUCCAUGUGUAGCGGUGAAAUGCGUAGAUAUAUGGAGGAACACCGGUGGCGAAAGCGGCUCUCUGGUCUGUAACUGACGCUGAGGCUCGAAAGCGUGGGGAGCGAACAGGAUUAGAUACCCUGGUAGUCCACGCCGUAAACGAUGAGUGCUAGGUGUUGGAUCCUUUCCGGGAUUCAGUGCCGCAGCUAACGCAUUAAGCACUCCGCCUGGGGAGUACGACCGCAAGGUUGAAACUCAAAGGAAUUGACGGGGGCCCGCACAAGCGGUGGAGCAUGUGGUUUAAUUCGAAGCAACGCGAAGAACCUUACCAGGUCUUGACAUCCCGAUGCUAUUUCUAGAGAUAGAAAGUUACUUCGGUACAUCGGUGACAGGUGGUGCAUGGUUGUCGUCAGCUCGUGUCGUGAGAUGUUGGGUUAAGUCCCGCAACGAGCGCAACCCCUAUUGUUAGUUGCCAUCAUUCAGUUGGGCACUCUAGCGAGACUGCCGGUAAUAAACCGGAGGAAGGUGGGGAUGACGUCAAAUCAUCAUGCCCCUUAUGACCUGGGCUACACACGUGCUACAAUGGUUGGUACAACGAGUUGCGAGUCGGUGACGGCGAGCUAAUCUCUUAAAGCCAAUCUCAGUUCGGAUUGUAGGCUGCAACUCGCCUACAUGAAGUCGGAAUCGCUAGUAAUCGCGGAUCAGCACGCCGCGGUGAAUACGUUCCCGGGCCU
rnacentral:rRNA from 1 species